rnacentral:rRNA from 4 species
GGUUAAGCGACUAAGCGUACACGGUGGAUGCCCUGGCAGUCAGAGGCGAUGAAGGGCGUGCUAAUCUGCGAUAAGCGCCGGUAAGGUGAUAUGAACCGUUAUAACCGGCGAUACCCGAAUGGGGAAACCCAGUGUGACUCGUCACACUAUCAUUAACUGAAUCCAUAGGUUAAUGAGGCGAACCGGGGGAACUGAAACAUCUAAGUACCCCGAGGAAAAGAAAUCAACCGAGAUUCCCCCAGUAGCGGCGAGCGAACGGGGAGGAGCCCAGAGCCUGAAUCAGCAUGUGUGUUAGUGGAAGCGUCUGGAAAGGCGCGCGAUACAGGGUGACAGCCCCGUACACAAAAGCGCAUGUGCUGUGAGCUCGAUGAGUAGGGCGGGACACGUGGUAUCCUGUCUGAAUAUGGGGGGACCAUCCUCCAAGGCUAAAUACUCCUGACUGACCGAUAGUGAACCAGUACCGUGAGGGAAAGGCGAAAAGAACCCCGGCGAGGGGAGUGAAAAAGAACCUGAAACCGUGUACGUACAAGCAGUGGGAGCACAGGUUUACCUGUGUGACUGCGUACCUUUUGUAUAAUGGGUCAGCGACUUAUAUUCUGUAGCAAGGUUAACCGAAUAGGGGAGCCGGAGGGAAACCGAGUCUUAAUUGGGCGUUAAGUUGCAGGGUAUAGACCCGAAACCCGGUGAUCUAGCCAUGGGCAGGUUGAAGGUUGGGUAACACUAACUGGAGGACCGAACCGACUAAUGUUGAAAAAUUAGCGGAUGACCUGUGGCUGGGGGUGAAAGGCCAAUCAAACCGGGAGAUAGCUGGUUCUCCCCGAAAGCUAUUUAGGUAGCGCCUCGUGAAUUCAUCUCCGGGGGUAGAGCACUGUUUCGGCUAGGGGGCCAUCCCGGCUUACCAACCCGAUGCAAACUGCGAAUACCGGAGAAUGUUAUCACGGGAGACACACGGCGGGUGCUAACGUCCGUCGUGAAGAGGGAAACAACCCAGACCGCCAGCUAAGGUCCCAAAGUCAUGGUUAAGUGGGAAACGAUGUGGGAAGGCCCAGACAGCCAGGAUGUUGGCUUAGAAGCAGCCAUCAUUUAAAGAAAGCGUAAUAGCUCACUGGUCGAGUCGGCCUGCGCGGAAGAUGUAACGGGGCUAAACCAUGCACCGAAGCUGCGGCAGCGACACUGUGUGUUGUUGGGUAGGGGAGCGUUCUGUAAGCCUGCGAAGGUGGCCUGUGAGGGUUGCUGGAGGUAUCAGAAGUGCGAAUGCUGACAUAAGUAACGAUAAAGCGGGUGAAAAGCCCGCUCGCCGGAAGACCAAGGGUUCCUGUCCAACGUUAAUCGGGGCAGGGUGAGUCGACCCCUAAGGCGAGGCCGAAAGGCGUAGUCGAUGGGAAACGGGUUAAUAUUCCCGUACUUGGUGUUACUGCGAAGGGGGGACGGAGAAGGCUAUGUUGGCCGGGCGACGGUUGUCCCGGUUUAAGCGUGUAGGUGUGUGUUCCAGGUAAAUCCGGUUCACUUUAACACUGAGGCGUGACGACGAGGCACUACGGUGCUGAAGCAACAAAUGCCCUGCUUCCAGGAAAAGCCUCUAAGCAUCAGGUAACAUCAAAUCGUACCCCAAACCGACACAGGUGGUCAGGUAGAGAAUACCAAGGCGCUUGAGAGAACUCGGGUGAAGGAACUAGGCAAAAUGGUGCCGUAACUUCGGGAGAAGGCACGCUGACACGUAGGUGAAGUGAUUUACUCAUGGAGCUGAAGUCAGUCGAAGAUACCAGCUGGCUGCAACUGUUUAUUAAAAACACAGCACUGUGCAAACACGAAAGUGGACGUAUACGGUGUGACGCCUGCCCGGUGCCGGAAGGUUAAUUGAUGGGGUCAGCGCAAGCGAAGCUCCUGAUCGAAGCCCCGGUAAACGGCGGCCGUAACUAUAACGGUCCUAAGGUAGCGAAAUUCCUUGUCGGGUAAGUUCCGACCUGCACGAAUGGCGUAAUGAUGGCCAGGCUGUCUCCACCCGAGACUCAGUGAAAUUGAACUCGCUGUGAAGAUGCAGUGUACCCGCGGCAAGACGGAAAGACCCCGUGAACCUUUACUAUAGCUUGACACUGAACAUUGAGCCUUGAUGUGUAGGAUAGGUGGGAGGCUUUGAAGUGUGGACGCCAGUCUGCAUGGAGCCGACCUUGAAAUACCACCCUUUAAUGUUUGAUGUUCUAACGUGGACCCGUUACCCGGGUUGCGGACAGUGUCUGGUGGGUAGUUUGACUGGGGCGGUCUCCUCCUAAAGAGUAACGGAGGAGCACGAAGGUUGGCUAAUCCUGGUCGGACAUCAGGAGGUUAGUGCAAUGGCAUAAGCCAGCUUGACUGCGAGCGUGACGGCGCGAGCAGGUGCGAAAGCAGGUCAUAGUGAUCCGGUGGUUCUGAAUGGAAGGGCCAUCGCUCAACGGAUAAAAGGUACUCCGGGGAUAACAGGCUGAUACCGCCCAAGAGUUCAUAUCGACGGCGGUGUUUGGCACCUCGAUGUCGGCUCAUCACAUCCUGGGGCUGAAGUAGGUCCCAAGGGUAUGGCUGUUCGCCAUUUAAAGUGGUACGCGAGCUGGGUUUAGAACGUCGUGAGACAGUUCGGUCCCUAUCUGCCGUGGGCGCUGGAGAACUGAGGGGGGCUGCUCCUAGUACGAGAGGACCGGAGUGGACGCAUCACUGGUGUUCGGGUUGUCAUGCCAAUGGCACUGCCCGGUAGCUAAAUGCGGAAGAGAUAAGUGCUGAAAGCAUCUAAGCACGAAACUUGCCCCGAGAUGAGUUCUCCCUGAGACUUAAAGUCUCCUGAAGGAACGUUGAAGACGACGACGUUGAUAGGCCGGGUGUGUAAGCGCAGCGAUGCGUUGAGCUAACCGGUACUAAUGAACCGUGAGGCUUAACCUU